GACGAACGCUGGCGGCGUGCUUAACACAUGCAAGUCGAACGGAAAGGCCCUGCUUUUGUGGGGUGCUCGAGUGGCGAACGGGUGAGUAACCCGUGAGUCACCUGCCCUUGACUUUGUGAUAACUUCAGAAAACUGGGGCUAAUACCGGAUAGGAGCUCCUGCUGCAUGGUGGGGGUCGGAAAGUUUCGGCGGUUGGGGAUGGACUGGCGGCUUAUCAGCUUGUUGGUGGGGUAGUGGCUUACCACGGCUUUGACGGGUAGCCGGCCUGAGAGGGUGACCGGCCACAUUGGGACUGAGAUACGGCCCAGACUCCUACGGGAGGCAGCAGUGGGGAGUAUUGCACAAUGGGCGGAAGCCUGAUGCAGCAACGCCGCGUGCGGGAUGACGGCCUUCGGGUUGUAAACCGCUUUCGCCUGUUACGAAGCGUGAGUGACGGUAAUGGGUAAAGAAGCACCGGCUAACUACGUG
rnacentral:rRNA from 1 species